UACAGAGGUCUCAAGCGUUGUUCGGAUUCAUUGGGCGUAAAGCGCGUGUAGGCGGCCCGGUAAGUCCGCUGUGAAAGUCCAGGGCUCAACCCUGGGAUGCCGGUGGAUACUGUCGGGCUCGAGUCCGGAAGAGGAGUGUGGAAUUCCUGGUGUAGCGGUGAAAUGCGCAGAUAUCAGGAGGAACACCAAUGGCGAAGGCAGCACUCUGGGCCGCACCUGACGCUGAGACGCGAAAGCUAGGGGAGCGAACAGG
rnacentral:rRNA from 1 species